rnacentral:rRNA from 1 species
UACGAAGGGGGCUAGCGUUGCUCGGAAUCACUGGGCGUAAAGCGCACGUAGGCGGAUCGUUAAGUCAGGGGUGAAAUCCUGGAGCUCAACUCCAGAACUGCCUUUGAUACUGGCGAGCUUGAGUUCGGGAGAGGUGAGUGGAACUGCGAGUGUAGAGGUGAAAUUCGUAGAUAUUCGCAAGAACACCAGUGGCGAAGGCGGCUCACUGGCCCGAUACUGACGCUGAGGUGCGAAAGCGUGGGGAGCAAACAGG